rnacentral:ncRNA from 1 species
CAAAAGCUUGGUCCUGACUUUACUAUCAGCUUUGGUUGGAUUUAUACAUGCAAGUAUCCGCAGCCCUGUGAGAAUGCCCUACAUAUUCCCUCCAUACGGGAAAAAAGGAGCAGGCAUUAGGCACGGCCCUACCGCCAGCCCAAAACGCCUUGCUUAGCCACACCCUCAAGGGACUUCAGCAGUAAUAGACAUUAAGCCAUAAGUGAAAACUUGACUUAGUUAAAACCAAGAGGGCCGGUUAAACUCGUGCCAGCCACCGCGGUUAUACGAGAGGCCCAAGUUGAUAAAUCGCCGGCGUAAAAAGUGGUUAGUAACUAUAUUUUACUAAAGCCAAACAUCUUCAAAACUGUCAUACGUUCUCGAAGACAGGAAGCUCUUCUACGAAAGUGGCUUUAAAUUAGACACACUCCACGAAAGCUAGGAAACAAAACGGGAAUAAAAAACCCAACAAGCCCAACCCUAAAAAAAAGGGAACAACUUAAAACCCAACCCCUGCCAAGGGAACAACAACCCCAACCUAAAAACCCAAAGGACUUGGCGGUGCUUUAGACCCCCCUAGAGGAGCCUGUUCUAGAACCGAUAACCCCCGUUCAACCUCACCCUCUCUUGUCUUUUCCCGCCUAUAUACCGCCGUCGUCAGCUUACCCUAUGAAGGAUGUACAGUAAGCAGAAUUGGUAGAACCCAAAACGCCAGGUCGAGGUGUAGCGUACGAGAGGGGAAGAAAUGGGCUACAUUCACUGUACCAGUGAACAACGGACGAUGCCUUGAAAUAAACAUCUAAAGGAGGAUUUAGCAGUAAGAAGAGAAACAUAGAGUCCCUCUGAAACUGGCCCUGAAGCGCGCACACACCGCCCGUCACUCUCCCCAAAACAAACAUAAAUUAUAAAUAAGAAAAAAAUAAAAAAAAUAAAGGGGAGGCAAGUCGUAACAUGGUAAGUGUACCGGAAGGUGCACUUGGAAAAA